UCGUGCAUCUUCUAAACGAAUGACAACACUUUUAAGAAGAACAGCAUUACUAGCAGCUUCCGCUUGAAGUUUCGCAUCGACAUCUUUUAAACCUGUAAUGGAUAAAAAUAAAUCUUAAAUUGUGUUUAUUUCUCUCGUCACCUUUGAUUAGCUUCUGAUGACCUCGAUUGCUUCCAGCAUCUUACUUUCGUCGUUUGGAAAUUUGGCUUCUGAAGUAAGCUCUCUAAGGCCCAAAUACAUUGCUAAAGAUUGAACUAUAUCACCGGCAAACGUCGAGUCUUCUGUCCAUUUUUUGGAGGACGUAAUUCAAUUUCUAAUUCACCUUGCGGCCUGCUUGGAUGAGCUACAAGUGUUUCACCCUCAAAUAUACCUUCUGCAAAUACUAUGGCACAAUGAACCUGCGUAAAAAAUGAUGGGGUUCUGGAGCAUCCAUCGAAGUUCCAGAAGCAUAUCCGCGCACUGUUAAUAUUAUUAUCUAUUAUAAUAAAGAUUCAAAAGUGAA
rnacentral:lncRNA from 1 species